UACGUAGGGGGCAAGCGUUGUCCGGAUUUAUUGGGCGUAAAGAGCUCGUAGGCGGCCUGUUGCGUCCGCUGUGAAAACCCGGGGCUUAACCCCGGGCUUGCAGUGGAUACGGGCAGGCUGGAGGCAGGCAGGGGAGAACGGAAUUCCCGGUGUAGCGGUGAAAUGCGCAGAUAUCAGGAGGAACACCGAUGGCGAAGGCAGCUCGCUGGGACGGUACUGACGCUGAGGCGCGAAAGCGUGGGGAGCGAACAGG
rnacentral:rRNA from 1 species